GUUGUAGUUGCUUGAACGCCUCCUUAACUUUCUGCAAGACCUAACAAAAAGGAGUGCGGUGCCAACUCAUUAGCCAAACAGCGUUUUAAAAGACGAUAAACAGUCACGUAGCAAAAAAGGAUUGGGGCUGAGAGUGAAAAGCAGUCACCUUUCCGUCGGAGAGCGGAUGCACAUCAGAAAUCAGGCGGGAGAGAAAUACCUAACAGAGCUGGGCAUAAUGUGAUUAUACCUAAGCCGUCGGUGGGUACACCGAGCCUGCUACGAUCAGCGCUCCCCUCGACUCCCGGCGGGGAGCCUUCCCCAGCCCGCAGCCCCCGACCCGCGUAAGGAAUGCGCCUCCCGCACCGCGCAGGCGGCCGUGGGGGCGGGCGGUACGAGCGGGGGAGAGACGGGACACGGACGUCUUUGCCGGGUGAAUUUGGAGGCGAGAAACCGGCGCAAUUCGGCGAGGGGCGGUGAGGCCGCUCGGCUGCAGCCGGUGGAGAGGCCGCGCCACGCUCCGCGCCCUGCGCAUCCCCGGGCAGCCGCCGGGAUCGGCGCUGCUCCCCAGGCUUGAUGUCCCCUCCUCUCAGCGCCCCGUCUGGAACAGGUCCUGGCCAGGAACAGGAAGAUGUCAGAGCGGGGAGUGACAAGCUACAAAACAGUCGUCAUCUAUUUUUUUUCUCUCACUCUGUUUCCUCCUAGUAUUAUGGUCAGCGCAAAUAAUCAUAGUCCUUUGAUUAUUUAUGCUUCUCCAGCCGUGGCAACAAAAACUGGCCAACCUCUGCCCUCGGCCUUUAUUCUCGGUUCCCAAGUUUUCCAGCUACUUGCAUUGUUUGUUUCCAAAAUACAAUGCAUACAGUGCUGAACUGCAACACUUGUCAGAAGAUUCGUCUGAAAGCACCAAGCACCACAGCCUGGGCAUUAGCCAACCCUGGAAAAAAAAAAAAAAAAAAAAA